rfam:Arthrospira platensis NIES-39 DNA, nearly complete genome.
AGGAGCCGUGUGAUGGGAAACUAUCAAGCACAGUUCUGAAUGGGAGAGGGUGAAGGUGACUUCACUCUCGACCCCUAAC